UACGGAGGGUGCGAGCGUUGUUCGGAAUCACUGGGCGUAAAGCGCGUGUAGGCGGCCUCUUAAGUCCGAUGUGAAAGCCCGGGGCUCACCCCCGGAAGUGCAUUGGAUACUGAGAGGCUGGAGUACCGGAGAGGAGGGUGGAAUUCCUGGUGUAGCGGUGAAAUUCGUAGAUAUCGGGAGGAACACCUGUGGCGAAGGCGGCCAUCUGGACGACGACUGACGCUGAGACGCGAAAGCGUGGGUAGCAAACAGG
rnacentral:rRNA from 1 species